rnacentral:rRNA from 1 species
GAUGAACGCUGACAGAAUGCUUAACACAUGCAAGUCAUUGGCGAAGCUGCGCUUGCGCAGUCUAGCCAAGGCGGACGGGUGAGUAACGCGUAAGGAACUUGCCCUGCAGACAGGGAUAACAGACGUAAACGACUGAUAACACCUGGUAUUGUCAGGCUGGCGCAUGCCGGCCUGAUGAAAGGAGACGCUGCAGGAGAGCCUUGCGUCCUAUUAGCUAGUUGGUGGGGUAACGGCCCACCAAGGCGAGGAUAGGUAGCCGGCCUGAGAGGGUGAACGGCCACAAGGGGACGGAGAUACGGCCCUUACUCCUACGGGAGGCAGCAGGGGGGAAUAUUGGACAAUGGGGGCAACCCUGAUCCAGGAAUUCGGUGUGCACGAAGAAGGUUUUCGGAUUGUAAAGUGCUUUCAGCAGGGAAGAAGAAAGUGACGGUACCUGAAGAAGAAGCGACGGCUAAAUACGUG